CAAAUUUCUGGGCUCAAGUUAUCUUCCAGCCUCAGUCUCCCAAAGUGCUUGGAUUACAGGCAUAAGCCUCCAUGCCCUGCCACAGUUGGUAGAAUCUCUUGAUCUGAAAGAAGCUUAAGCUAAUGAAUGACUCAGGAAGAAGGUUCUCACCCCAGCCAAGACCAAAGAGGGUCAUGUCUUUCCAUUUGGCUACCUGGGUCCCAGAAGGGCCAUUUGUCUUCCUUUAAAAACCACAAGGGUACACAUGGAGGGUUUUGGCUGAGAGAUGCAGAGGGUAGCCUGGAUCCUGACCAAAUGAUGAGCUGCCUGACAGAGCCUGCUGACCACUAACUGCCAGAUACCCUAGGAUCAGGGAAUGCAGUAGAGAAACUAAAACCAGCUUUGAGGAGGAGGAAAGAACACAAAAUAAUAAUUGUAGGUCAGGAGCUUAAUUUGGAAAAAAUGAAAAUAAAAGCAGUGCUUUCUUGUAAUUUGUCUUUGUCUUUAGACUUCCUUGAAGAAUAUCCUUCCAAGGGUGUGUGAAAAGAGGGCCUGCAUUGUGGGCAGGCUGAGUGGGCAGGUGCAUCUGCAGAGAGGACUCUGGGAAGAAGAAGGACUUUCUGUUUCCACAAAUAAGCAUACCAUAAGUAUUUCUCUGUUGCCAGGAAUCAUUUGAAAUUAGGUUAAAUCCCAUUAUUUUGCAGAGAAGUAAGCUUGAAAAUUAAAAUCUUCCUGGAGGAGAAAAGUCAAAAACUAAGAUUUAAGUGACUUACGGUGAAAAAGUUCCAAAUAUCAAAUUUUAUAGAAAGCAGAUGUGUGUGAGAAGGAGCACUGCUGAUUUAAUGCGUGUAUAUUUAGGGAUCGUGCUAUUUACUCUAGGCCAGGUUUUUCUAUUUGCUGGCAAAUAGCAGGGUAAGGAUUCAAUCCUAGGUCUCCCUGAGUCCACAGCCAUGUUUUCCUUUCUACUAUUCUUCCAAAGGACCCCAGAAUAGAGUGUGUUAUAACAAAGUGGGAGAGUUUUACAGAAACCAACCUCCAGAAAAAUUUUCCAAUCUUGAGUUCAGCAUUUCAGUGCACUGAACACUACUUGUACCCCAUGCAACUCCCUGUAGAUUCCUUUCCAAGUAUGGUGUGUUCAUCACCCACCUUCCAUAUACUUGGUACCUGCACCCCUUUAAGGAUGGUCUUUUGUAACUUAUGCUCCAGAGCUCCUUUCAGGAUAGAGCUGAGUUCAGGUAAAAGCACACCUUUGCUUGGUUUUCCCUCCAUGUCCAAUUUUGCUUCCUCUACUCCCUUAGGGGUUCCUCCUGAAUGAACAUUCAUAAGAAAUCCUUUGCACCUAAGUCUUUCACUGAGCACUGUUUCAUGACGAAUCCAAGAUACAACUUCAUGAGAGAAUUGUAAAGAAAUGAUAUGGCAGCUUCCUUGUUAUUUUAUCUUAUUUAAUGAAUUUCUCUUCCAUUGAUUCUUUAAGGAGUUUCUAACCCCAGUUCAUAUUGUUUAUGUUAUUGAGCUGGUAGAGAACGAAAGCAGUUCUCUGACCAUGUCUUUCAAUGUGUCACACUUAAUUCUGAAGCAAAUGUCUAGAGGAUUGGUUAAUAAUACAAUGUCAGCUUUUCUCAUUUCGGUUAUCAGUUCAAAAGAAUAUGGCUCUAUCUUUCAGAAGAAAAGAGUUACAAUGAUAUAUUUUUGAUUGUGCAGGCUCAAGUUAUUCUCUUUCUGAGAUGGUGAAAGCAUCCUGACUGCUUCACAUAAUGGGACAUAUACUGGUCUAAGCAAUCAAGUGUAUAAGGGAUAUAAUCAUUAAGAUGUAAUUGUUCCUUGUAUCAGCAUUAUGCCAAAUAAAGCAGAAAUUGCAAUCUUUGGACCUAUUCAGUUUUCCAUUAAGCAGAAGACUAAACUGAAAUAGAGGGAUGUGAUAUUUAACAAGAAUCCCUGUCUGGCUCAAGAGAUUCAUUACAUUUGAAUUCAUCUUAGAAAUAAGGAAUCAAAGUGAACCUGACCAAGUAUAUAGACAUUCACUCUUCUUACCUGUAAAUCAAUCAAUCAAUCAAUCAAUCAAUCAAUCAAUAAGAAGAAAAACAGCAAUCUAAUCUUGUCAGAAAAUAAGCCUCCUGGAGGAGAGAUAAUAAGCUUGAAGCUUUAAUGAAAAAUAGCCUAUGAAAAUAAAUGAGGGAUCAUGGCGCAGGGGCAGCGCAAGUUCCAGGCGCACAAGCCCGCAAAGAGCAAGACAGCAGCGGCGGCAUCUGAAAAGAAUCGGGGCCCGAGAAAAGGCGGUUGUGUUAUCGCUCCCAAGAAGGCGCGCGUCGUGCAGCAGCAAAAGCUCAAGAAGAACCUAGAAGUCGGGAUCCGGAAGAAGAUCGAACACGAUGUGGUGAUGAAAGCCAGCAGCAGCCUGCCCGAGAAGCUGGCCCUGCUAAAGGCCCCGGCCAAGAAGAAUGGGGAGGCUGCCGCCAUCUCCUCCAAGACACCUUCCUGAGGACGCUGGCCCCAGCGCAGGCCAACACCCCACCCCCCACCUCCAUGUGGGAUCUUACAAGUGAUCCUACAGGCUGCACUGGCAGGAAGAGGACCCCAUCCCCCAGCACUGGGCUUCACCUAGAACUUGAGUGGGGGCCAAGAGUGCUGAGAACCCAGCAAUGACCAGGAAGAUACAGUCACCAGCUUCAUCUGUCCCCAUGCCCCUUCCCAGGUCCUGCCUCCACAGGUUUAACCCAGAACAAUAAACCCGGCUUUGUCAU